AUUUUUUAACAAUUUCUAUGUGUUUAAUUGUUCUUAAAUGUGUUUAUUAUAGCGUGAUUCGAUUAAAAAUAUUUCAAUCCACGUUGGAAUUCUCGGUCAAACAUGGCUAUAGGCAUCGCCGUACUUCGCUUAGUACGCGUGGGUAUGGAACAAGACGCCCUAUUUUAAAUAAUUAAUUUCUCGGUUCUUUUCCAUCAAAGUACGUGAAAACAAAAUGGCUCUUUCGACCCAAGCAUAGGCCAGUGAACUCGAUAUAUGGAGCGAUAAUUAUUUUCGUUGAAUAUCUCAUCAAUAAUAACUGUAAAUAUACAGCUUUUAAUGUUUUCAUACCACGUUUUAUGAAUAUGGAUCUUUUGAAAUGCGAAAUUGUCUAGAAAUGCCGUAAAUAUGUUUCCCGCCAAAACGCGUCCUUACUCUGCCGUAUAGG